rnacentral:rRNA from 1 species
AUUGAACGCUGGCGGUAUGCUUAACACAUGCAAGUCGAACGAGUGGCGGACGGGUGAGGAAUGCAUAGAAAUCUACCUUUUAGUCUAGGAUAACUACCCGAAAGGGUGGCUAAUACUGGAUGCUAAGAGCUGAGCUCAUGUGGGAUUAGCUAGUUGGUGGGGUAAUGGCUCACCAAGGCUACGAUCGCUAGAUGGUUUGAGAGGAUUGUCAGCCACACUGGGACUUGUACACGGCCCAGACUCCUACGGGAUGCAGCAGUGGGGAAUAUUGGACAAUGGGCGAAAGCCUGAUCCAGCAAUACCGCGUUGGUGAAGAAGGCCCUAGGGUUGUAAAGCACUUUUGUUAGGGAGAUGUUACCUAAAGAAUAAGCACCGGCUAACUCCGUGCCAGCAGCCGCGGUAAUAC